rnacentral:lncRNA from 1 species
CAACGAGCAAGGACCGCAGAAGAAGAAGACGCCGUCGGUUGCGGCGGCGGCGGUUUCGUUGGGAAGGAAGUGUCAACACUGUGGAGCGGAGAAGACGCCGCAAUGGAGGGCGGGACCGUCGGGACCGAAGACGCUGUGUAACGCGUGUGGCGUGAGGUACAAGUCAGGGAGGCUUGUUCCGGAGUAUCGGCCGGCGAAUAGUCCGACUUUCUCGGCGGAGUUACAUUCGAAUUCUCACCGGAAGAUUGUAGAGAUGAGGAAGCAGUUUCAGUCCGGUGAUGUUGUUGUUGAUCGGAAAGAUUGUGGAUAAAAAAAAAGUUGUUAGGAUAAAUUUUUUCUCUCUUUUUUUUUUUGAGAAACUUUUUUUUCAAUUACGUUAAUUUCUCUUUUUAAGUUUGUUUUAGGGUUUUGCAGUUGAAAUUUAGGUUUUUUUGUUUACUUUUUUAUUUGUGA